rnacentral:rRNA from 1 species
CAGGCUUAACACAUGCAAGUCGAGGGGCAGCAUGGUCUUAGCUUGCUAAGGCCGAUGGCGACCGGCGCACGGGUGAGUAACACGUAUCCAACCUGCCGUCUACUCUUGGACAGCCUUCUGAAAGGAAGAUUAAUACAAGAUGGCAUCAUGAGUCCGCAUGUUCACAUGAUUAAAGGUAUUCCGGUAGACGAUGGGGAUGCGUUCCAUUAGAUAGUAGGCGGGGUAACGGCCCACCUAGUCUUCGAUGGAUAGGGGUUCUGAGAGGAAGGUCCCCCACAUUGGAACUGAGACACGGUCCGAACUCCUACGGGAGGCAGCAGUGAGGAAUAUUGGUCAAUGGGCGAGAGCCUGAACCAGCCAAGUAGCGUGAAGGAUGACUGCCCUAUGGGUUGUAAACUUCUUUUAUAAAGGAAUAAAGUCGGGUAUGCAUACCCGUUUGCAUGUACUUUAUGAAUAAGGAUCGGCUAACUCCGUGCCAGCAGCCGCGGUAAUACGGAGGAUCCAAGCGUUAUCCGGAUUUAUUGGGUUUAAAGGGAGCGUAGAUGGAUGUUUAAGUCAGUUGUGAAAGUUUGCGGCUCAACCGUAAAAUUGCAGUUGAUACUGGAUAUCUUGAGUGCAGUUGAGGCAGGCGGAAUUCGUGGUGUAGCGGUGAAAUGCUUAGAUAUCACGAAGAACUCCGAUUGCGAAGGCAGCCUGCUAAGCUGCAACUGACAUUGAGGCUCGAAAGUGUGGGUAUCAAACAGGAUUAGAUACCCUGGUAGUCCACACGGUAAACGAUGAAUACUCGCUGUUUGCGAUAUACGGCAAGCGGCCAAGCGAAAGCGUUAAGUAUUCCACCUGGGGAGUACGCCGGCAACGGUGAAACUCAAAGGAAUUGACGGGGGCCCGCACAAGCGGAGGAACAUGUGGUUUAAUUCGAUGAUACGCGAGGAACCUUACCCGGGCUUAAAUUGCAGAUGAAUUACGGUGAAAGCCGUAAGCCGCAAGGCAUCUGUGAAGGUGCUGCAUGGUUGUCGUCAGCUCGUGCCGUGAGGUGUCGGCUUAAGUGCCAUAACGAGCGCAACCCUUGUUGUCAGUUACUAACAGGUUCCGCUGAGGACUCUGACAAGACUGCCAUCGUAAGAUGUGAGGAAGGUGGGGAUGACGUCAAAUCAGCACGGCCCUUACGUCCGGGGCUACACACGUGUUACAAUGGGGGGUACAGAGGGCCGCUACCACGCGAGUGGAUGCCAAUCCCAAAAACCUCUCUCAGUUCGGACUGGAGUCUGCAACCCGACUCCACGAAGCUGGAUUCGCUAGUAAUCGCGCAUCAGCCACGGCGCGGUGAAUACGUUCCCGGGCCUUGUACACACCGCCCGUCAAGCCAUGGGAGCCGGGGGUACCUGAAGUGCGUAACCGCGAGGAGCGCCCUAGGGUAAAACUGGUGACUGGG